CGUGUAGGCGGUCCGCUAAGUCUGAUGUGAAAGCCCGGGGCUCACCCCCGGAAGUGCAUUGGAAACUGGUGGACUAGAGUCCCGGAGAGGAGGGUGGAAUUCCUGGUGUAGCGGUGAAAUGCGUAGAUAUCAGGAGGAACACCGGUGGCGAAGGCGGCCCUCUGGACGGUGACUGACGCUAAGACGCGAAAGCGUGGGGAGCGAACAGGAUUAGAUACCCUGGUAGUCC
rnacentral:rRNA from 1 species